GAAAUCUAUCACUGCUUUUUAGGAUAAGCUCGACUUUUGUUCAAAUAAAAAUGCAAAAGGAAAGUGUAUCCUAAAAGGCAAUGACAGUUUAAUGUGUUU
rnacentral:pre_miRNA from 1 species